rnacentral:rRNA from 1 species
UAAAACGACUCUCGGCAACGGAUAUCUCGGCUCUCGCAUCGAUGAAGAACGUAGCGAAAUGCGAUACUUGGUGUGAAUUGCAGAAUCCCGUGAACCAUCGAGUCUUUGAACGCAAGUUGCGCCCCAAGCCAUUAGGCCGAGGGCACGCCCGCCUGGGUGUCACGC